GCCUCUGGAUCAGUGGUAAAUCGCCUCGAAAUUGUAACGAUUGGUGCGGUAAGUAAAGCUCUCGAGGAGACGUGGGUUCGACUCCCACUAGAGGCA